GUUCCUCCUCCGCCCGUGUGCGGGGUGGGCUUCUGCACGGCCAGUUCUCAGGCCAGCGGCAGCCCCCUCCUCCCCGCACUAGACAGGGCUCCACACCCACGUCAGCCAGAGCGGAGCCCCUGGGGCUUCCUCCUCCAGUAAUCCUGCUUCUUCGUGUAUUUAUCCUUUUUAUGCACCAUUUUUCUCCUCCCAUCCAUUGUCAGGAGCUCCUUGAGGCUCCAGGAACGGGCUCCAAGGAGAUUGUUGUUCUUGUGUGGAGACACUUAAUGUAUUCAAGGUAAUUUUAGCAACCUGUCAUAAACAUGUUCAACUUGACGGUACAAUCCUAUGUUACUGGACCUCAGCCGUGCCCACUGAGCACUUUCUGUGUGCCAGGCUAGCACUCAGGAUGCUGCGGUGAUGGACCCGGCCCCGCCCCCAGAAAGCUCUUCCUCUGUCAGAGCAGACACACGUUAAACAUUAAAUUACACAGAUUGUUAAACAGUCACAAAGGUACCACGUGGAUGUGGAAAAGGUAAACUGACGGGGGUAGAGGGGACGGGUGGAGAGCUGAACCCUGACGGCUAGAUGAAAGGCACAGAUUUUACCAGGUGGGGAGAGAGAAAACGCAUCUCCUGGAGCAGCCUGUGGAGGGCCGAGAAGCAGGGCAAGCGGGUGAGGCUGGGGGGUGGCACCCAGGCCCAUAUGGCUGGAGCAGAGCGGGGCAGAAAGGUCAGGUCACGCAGAACCUUGCAAAAUGGAGACGGGCUGAGAAGAGCUCCCCUGGGGUCUUGGGAGGGCUGGGGUAGGGCCCGAGACAGUGCAUCUCUAAGAGGUUCCCAGGUCCUGCCCAGGCUGUUGGUCUGCGCACCACACUCUGAGUCGCCCUGGACUAGUGGUUUUCAGACUUCUCGAAACCAAAAGUGCUUUCUUUAAGCCGAAUCUUCCACAGACGGAACAGAUAGCAACAACAGAGCUGCUUAGUUCGGGUGGAGCAGGGCUUACAGCCAGAGGGUGACUCUGGUAACUGUGUGACUCUGGCUGGUCACAUCACCUCUCAGGCCCUCAGUUUCUCUGCCUGUAAAAUGGAGAUAAUGGUAGGUACCCUGCCCCACCGCAGCAAAGGGCUCCUGGAACAGGGGUCAAAUGAGGUCGUGUAAACCUACCUAAGUUAGUGUUCAUUCUCCUCUUGAGAGUGAAAGCCGUCGAGUAAUAAUAAUAAAAGUAGCUAAGCUGUACUUGAGGGCUUGCAGAAUACAGGACCUGAGCUCAGCACUAUCUACCUUCUUUCACAGAAUCUCCAUGGUUCUGCAAGACGAUACUGUAAAAAUCUUUCCCACUUCAUCCCAUUUCCUAGAUGAAAACUGAGGCUCAGAAACAGAUCUUAGCCAGGACCAUGAAUGGCAGAACUGGACCUGACCGCAGUGACUGCGGGCUUUGCACCGGCACCGAGUGACUGAGGCCCCGGCCCCGCGUCCCAGAAUUUGCCAGAAAUGUUUCCAUCGGAGGCUCUUCCAGGUGUCAGGCCUAGACUCAAGUACUGCACGUGGUGGUUCUAGAAUUCAGAAGUUUUGCAUAAAAUGAGAGCUUUUGAUGGAAACUGAAGGGAAGAGAUAAGGGCCAGAGGCCACUGUGAAAGAAGAUGUUACGAACAGGCAGUCUCCGUCCAGUGAUUUUAUCCCGUCAUGUUCUUCUCUCGUGUGGAAACAUUAAUGUCUCUCAUUUCUUGAACGCCAACGGCAUUCAAGACAUUGUAUGUAAUUAUUUAAUCUUCACGACUGCCCUGCAGAGUGUAGACAUUAUCAUCCCCAUUUCGUAGAUGAGGAAAUAGAGGCCCAAAGCCAGAGAAUGUGCUAAGGUUGGAACCUCUGCUUGAACCCCAGCCCGAAGGAGUCCCAGCCCUGUCCCUUCAACCCCGAGCUGUAACUGAGCUAAGCCAUGUGUGGUCCCUAAUUCUGCAGGCUUCGAGAUGAAUCUCAGAGGAAUCAUUGGUCUCUUCAAAUUGGGUUCUUCUCGUGAUCGAGUGAUGGAGGCUGUGGCUUUAUUGACCAUGAAAACUCCCUAUAUUUUUAUGCCGUAAGCUGUAAAAUGCAUUGAAAGUGAAACACUCUAUAGUGCAUAAAAUUGUGCCAGUUUUAAGCCACAGCAUAUUAACCAACUAAUGGCAGACCAAAGGGCGUUUUUAUCUUUUGAUUAUUACAUUAAUCUUCCAUUAAAAUUAUCUAUGUGAUUAUCACAAAGCACUGAAGAUAAUAAAUUUAGGAGAUAGUUGGCUA